GGGGGAGGAGGAGGAGGAUGUGGGGGGGAGGGGGAGGAGGAGGACUAGAGUGAAUGGCAAUUUGAACAAAAGCAAAAGCAGAAGUAAAACUUCAAAAUCCCAAAAACAUUUGACCUUUACAUAGUAACAUAAAAUAUUACUACAUAUUAAAUAUUGUAGUUAUAUAAAAUACUGCUAUAAUAUCAAAUAUGACUAUAAUAUGAAAUAUUACUAUAUUAUAAAAUAUUAUAGUAAGAUAAAAUAUGACUAUUAUAAAAUAUUAUAGUAUUAUAUAUAUGACUGUAUUAUUAAAUAUGAUCUAUUGUCUGGUCCAAAGAGAUGUUCAGCAGUCUGUUGGCCACAUCGGGCUGGUCCUGGUCCUCAUCCUGGUCCAGGUCCUGGACUUGUCCCUGGUCUGGUCUGGUCCUGGUCUGUUUCUGGUCCUGGUCUGGUCCUGGUCUGUUUCUGGUCCUGGUCCUGGUCUGUUUCUGGUCCUGGUCCUGGUCUGUUUCUGUUUCUGGUCCUGGUCCUGGUCUGUUUCUGGUUCUGUUUCUGUUUCUGGUUCUGGUCUGUUUCUGGUUCUGGUCUGUUUCUGUUUCUGGUCCUGGUCCUGGUCUGUUUCUGGUUCUGUUUCUGGUCCUGGUCUGUUUCUGGUUCUGUUUCUGGUCUGUUUCUGGUCUGUUUCUGGUACUGUUUCUGGUCUGGUUCUGUUUCUGGUCCUGGUCCUGGUCCUGGUCUGUUUCUGGUACUGUUUCUGGUCCUGGUUUAGGUUUCUGGUGGUCCUUCUCCCAGAACCCCUUGAGCCUGAUCCCAUCUUCCUCUACAUGGCGGGAAAGGAGGAGCAGGAGAAGAGGUGCAGAACCCAGCAGGCUGAGAGGCUGAGCACCCAGACAGCAGGAGGUAGGUCUUGCUGGAGAUGCAGGCGCUGGUCUGGCUGCGGGCAGCCUCUGAUUGGCUCUCGGCCGCCUCGUUGAGGCUGAGGCACGAGGCGGUGAUGUGGGCGGCCUCGGUCACGUUCUGCUGCAGGGCCUCCAUCUCCUCUGGACCAAUCACAGCACAGCACCGUGUUACCUCGACUAAUCAC
ensembl:lncRNA